rnacentral:rRNA from 1 species
UGGCGACUAUAUCGCAAAGGUUAUACCUGUUCCCUUCCCGAACACAGAAGUCAAGCUUUGCGAGCCGAUGAUAGUGCCCACCAGCGUGAAAGUAGGUAUUGCCAGAUU